CCCUCUAUGCACUACUACUACAUAUCACAAUUUUAAUAACAAGUUCUAAAAUCUUAAACCAAAAAAAUAAAAGCAGAUUGCUUUUAUUAUCAAAGAUGGCCGUUUUGCCAUGCAAGCGUCUUGUUCUUGUGGCUUUCAUUUUGCUUUGUUUCUUCUCAAACACAGCAAGAUCAGCAAGAAGUUUGGGAGUGGUGAGUAAAGGAGAAGAUCAAAAGGGAUAUGAUGAUAAUAGUACCACUACUAAUUUUAGACCAAAAGAAGAUGGGGUGCGAGAAAGUGAUGCUUUUUUGCAUAUGGAUUAUACUCCAGCAAGAAAGAAGCCUCCAAUUCAUAACUAAAAAAAAUUAAUAUCAAUUUUUUGUUGAGCCAGUUCUUUUAGUUUAUUAAUUGCAACUAGUUUUAAAAAUAUAUCAAUACUAGUUUAAUUAUUAGUUUCUGAAUACUUUUCUUCCAACUCUUUUUAUAUUAUAUAUUCAAAAACUGUAUUAGAAGAGAGAGGAUAGAAUACAAUAGAUUCAUAUGCGCAGUGAUAUAUAAGAAAGGAAAAAAAUAAAAUAAAAAAGGAAUAUAGUAUAUAUAAGUAUGGUCCAUAGGUCUAUGGUAAAUUAGGAUUUUGGAAAAGGCUCUUAGAAAAAACCAACCUAGCUAGAGUUUGUACAUGUUCCAGCUAAUAAAUUCAUGUAUGUUUUUCUUUUUCCAUAUAUGAUCUAUAACCACGUUCUUUGAUUGCUCUCCACCAUUCACGCCUGUUAUGACAAAGGGAAAACAAAUUCCAAAACAACAAACAUAUCUAUAUAAUGUACAUAUGUAUAAUUAGUUCAACAUAAAUCCUGGCUAAGUUUUCAUCAUUUAAUUAGGGUUAAAAUUAAUAUAAAAAAAUAGGGUUAAAAUUAUUUCCAUUCCAAAUAACCACUUGGAAGUUAAUAUAUAUUCUUUCCAGCAGCCUUUGAAAAAUUUGGAUCAAAACUAGACUAGAUUUAUCGCUGGUUGCUCCCAUUACUUAUAAGUAAAAAUCAUCAAGUGAUAAUGUUGUAACUUCUACCAUAUUGAUCAGUGAACUUUGUAUGUAUGUAUAGAAUAAACAAUAACUUUGUAUGUAUGUAUAGAAUAAACAAUACCAACUGUAGAUAGUAAGGUAAUCAUUCUGGUAGCUUCCUGGAAAGACCUGCAAACUAAUAAGUGGGGACAAAUCCAAACAAUAUUACAAUUAAUUAAUAAUCAGGGUAUCUUGUGUUUGAAGUUUCAGAUCCAUAUGAGGGAAAAGUUAAAAAAGAAAAUAUAAAGAACAAAAUAGUUUUUUUUUUUUUUUUUCGUUUUUCUGAAAGAAAAUUAUUAAGAAAUAUAUUAUAAAGGAUAAGAAUAAAAGGUAAAUGUUCUAUUUCCCAUGGAAAUAUAUAUGUGAUAAUGCUCUGUUGUUUGUUCUACACUCUGCUCGUCUCAUCAAUCUUAGAGUCAGUGAGUUAUAUGGAAUCAUAGAAAAAUUUUGAAAUGAGUAUAUUCUUUUUCAUUCACGCCAUGGAAUAUCAUUCUGCUUUAAUGGAGACUUCAGCAUUUCAAUUAGUUUGUAGAUCAUUUGAUUAAAUAACUAAUUAAUUUCCAAAAGUUGCCUAUUAUUAAUUUGCUUAAUUAGGGUUUUCUAAUCAACUUUGUAUUUAUCUGCCUUGCUUGUGAUUUGAAAGCUUCUAGCUGGCAUAAGGAAAAAUGGGGCACAUAAAACUGGAUCUAUACCACUUCUAUGUUAAAUAUUUUAUUUCAAUUUAUUGUUUAUUGAUAAGUCCUUGUUUAGGAAAGAUAGAGGGGGAAAAAAAAGGGGAAAAUUGAAGGGAUAGAAAAAUUCAUAUUUUUCCCUUUGUUAUUUGGUAUGACAUGAAAAAUGGAAAGUUAUUUUUCAUUUUGUAUGUGGUAUAGAAGUAAAAAUAAAAAGAAGAAAAAAAUUUAGGUAAGUUUAGUUAUUUUGUAUUCAUUGAAUAUUUUUCCUUUUAAUAAUUCUUUCAUAUGUGGAUUGAUUGUUUUGAAUGGAAAAGUCAUCCUUCUAAUUUUC